AGAGGCGAGGCAGCGGUGAGGCGGUGGACAGCCUGGGGUACCCCAACGGGUCCGCUCCCUCCUCCUCCCCAGGCACUGGGCCUCUUUGGUGACACCCUGGGUGGCAGGCAAGCCUGGAAAUCAAGUGCACGGGGCCUGGAAAGGAGGACCGGGAGAGUUAUGGGACUUAUGAAGGAAGAAGAGAAAGAGAAUCACUUGGAUGGGAAAAGUUAACUGGAUUGUUCCCACCUGCAUGGAUCAUCCGGGAUGAAGCUGUGCCACCCAGUAGGAAUUAGAAGAUCAGGUCCCAGAAGUGAGCAUUGGGUGCAGGAUCCAGUCUUCUCAGGCGCUGAGAUCCAUGGAGAGAAGUUGAAGCUCACACAGCUGCCUCCCUCCCUGGCCCUGGCACCUCUCUUUAAUCAAGAAGAGCAGCAGGAAAGGAAGGAAGAUCUCAUUGCUGGAGACCAAGUGCUGUGGUCAUUAAGGGGGCCAACUCUGGAGCCUGACUGCCUGGGUCUGAAUCCCAGCUCCAGCAUAUGCUGACCUUGGUUCUAGAAACCUGCCCCUCCUCAGAGUCCCCAUUUAUAAAUUUAUAUGGUGCAUUGGCAGGAGUCGUAUCAGAUAAACAGAAUCAGGAAUAUAUAUAUAUAUCUGGGAAUUGGCUAUGGGAC